rnacentral:tRNA from 1 species
UGCGGGGUGGAGCAGUGGCAGCUCGUUGGGCUCAUAACCCAAAGGUCGCAGGUUCGAAUCCUGCCCCCGCUA